UUUCUUCAAUUGGCUGGUUAUCUCCAUCGUUGUGCGUCCGGCGACCUCAGUGCAUGAUCGCGGUGAGCUGGUGUGGAGCCGAUCCGGCGAGUAGGGAUGGCGUUGGCCGUUGACAGCGACGGGAGCGGGAGGGGAUUCGGCGGCGGAGAGAUACACGUGGUGGAGAUGGCGGCGGAGUCAUCUUCGGCCGUCGAUGAGGUCUCCCCCCUCCUGACGGCGGACGGCUCUGGAGAUGAGCGACCAAGGAUGACCAUAUUCUCCGUCUCCUAUCCCAGGAAGAAACCCGCCAAGGAAUCGGCAUAUAGCUCGACGGAUCCAGAAAUUAAUUUUCUUGUUCAGAUUGUCUCAUGGAUUUGGAGUGGCUCUAGGCAUUCUGGGAUUCUCUGCGUGUGUUCUUCUUCGAUUAUCUAUAGCAUUAUCGAAGUGUUGCUAGACAUUUUUCCAGAUAGAUCAUCUCCAGUAUAUCAGACUCUAUUUACUAGAUGUUCAAUCCUUUUCAUUGUUUCACUUCUAUGGUUGAGAAGGACUGGUCAUCCUCUUUGCAUUCCAACACAUGCAAAGACUAUACUACUGCUGAGAUCACUCACUGGGUCUGUUUCAUUGUUGAGCUUCAUCUAUAGUGUCCAAAAUCUACCUGUGUCCUAUGCAGUUAUGUUGAAUUUUGCAACCCCGAUCAUGGCAUCACUUGGAGCAAUAAUCAUCUUACGGGAGAAAUUGCCUCUUCCUUACAUUGGAGGUUUAGUUUGCAGUUUUCUUGGUCUAUUCUUGAUUUUUCAACCUGUGCUUCUUAUGGGAGGUGACAGUGUCGCCAAUGGAGAAAAGCAUGCCUUGUUUGCUAUUUUAAUUGGUAUAUUUUCAACAAUUCUGGGUGGAGUUAGCUACUGUCUUGUACGUGCUGGUGCAAAGGCAACGGAUCAACCCAUGUACACAGUUCUUUCAUUUGCAAUACUUGCUCUUCCUCUCUCAGCCAUACUCAUUUUGGUAAAUCAGGCUAGUCCAGCCCCCUAACCCAUGCCGAGUACAACACAGGACAACCAUGCCAAGACCCAUGCUUCAUUUAGGCAGCUGGAUCAAGCACCACCGCUUGACACCCCUAUUCUUGAGUUUCAUUUACUACAUAAUUAUCAUAAUUAGACUCAGUUAUCUGUUACUGGCCUUAGUUAACUUCUUUAGUUUAGGCGCAAUGAGCUAUCGCCAUUUAUUGUUACUAUUAUAUUCUUUUACUUUCACUCAACAGGCAAAAACGAACAAGGGUUUAACAUUUUCAUUCAUCACUCAACAGGCAAAAACGUUUCAAUAUACACAAGUUAAGCACGUCAAUUUUCUUUUAAAUCAAAUUAGAUCGAACAAGGGUUUCUAACAUCGUUUUAGUCCAAAUAGAUGGAAGUUCUAGCAUGUGCCAGUCUUGAUGCUAAACUGUUAUUAGGAGAUACUUAUAUGGCCCUUUUGUUAUCUAAACCAAUACAUGGGAAGAAAUUGUUUCCUUCAUGGACGAGAACAAUGAUGUAAACACGCUUACAAGAGUUAAUGAGGCCUGUUGUUUUCGCAGUAAACGCUAUGCCUUCGAGUAUCUUCUCUUUCGUAUUGACUUAACUUCAGUGUUAUUGAGUGGUUCUGCCUUACUGAGUAAGCAUAUUUUAAUUGCAAAUUGUAUCAAAUUGUAUUUCUUCUUAUUUAAACUCCAAUUCCAGGAAUUUGUUGUACCCGAUCUAUUCACUUUUCUCCUGGCAAUCACGCUUGGUGUCUUGGCAUUUCUUGCAGAGGUGCUUCUAGCUCGUGGGCUUCACCUAGACAAAAUAGCUAAAACUACAAACGUUCUUUACUUAAAGGUGCUUUUAUCGCAAAUGUGGAGCCUGACUUUCAAGGGGGCCUCUCCAACUUUAAACAAACUCAUUGGAUGUUUGCUCAUUUUGGCUUCCAUCUGCGGCACUUCCUAUAUUGCUCUGGAAAAGGAAAAUGAUUGAUUCAGGUUGCAUCAGUUGGAAACACCACUUAUUCAUCCAUUCUUUCAAUAAUGUAGUGUUUGAAAUUUGUAAUUGCCUUCUUGAAUUCGAAGGAAGUCGAAGAGUGAUUCCUAUGCUUACAUGCAUAUGCUCCAUCCAAAAUAACUUGUGAUUAAAUGCAUCAUAAUUUCAAUAGGUAUAGAUAGAUUCCCUAAGUCAUCCCCGAAGAGUUGAGGAAUUCCUCGUGGUAUAGAGGGUCGCCCUUGUAAAAUUACUGUAUUAGGGUCGACAAUUUGGGUUACUCAGACCAUUUGUAUCAAAUAAAAAAGUUCAACUAAAAUUAAUUAAAUUUCUUGUUAUGCGAA